rnacentral:tRNA from 1 species
UGGCUCAAUGGUAGAGUGCUUGCCUUGCAUGCAUGAGGCCCUGGGUUCGAUUCCUCG